AUGAACGCUGGCGGCGUGCCUAAUACAUGCAAGUAGAACGCUGAAGGAGGAGCUUGCUCUUCUGGAUGAGUUGCGAACGGGUUAGUAACGCGUAGGUAACCUGCCUGGUAGCGGGGGAUAACUAUUGGAAACGAUAGCUAAUACCGCAUGACAACAGUUAUUGCAUGAUAACUGUUUAAAAGGGGCAACUGCUCCACUACCAGAUGGACCUGCGUUGUAUUAGCUAGUUGGUGAGGUAACGGCUCACCAAGGCGACGAUACAUAGCCGACCUGAGAGGGUGAUCGGCCACACUGGGACUGAGACACGGCCCAGACUCCUACGGGAGGCAGCCGUAGGGAAUCUUCGGCAAUGGGCGGAAGUCUGACCGAGCAACGCCGCGUGAGUGAAGAAGGUUUUCGGAUCGUAAAGCUCGGUUGUAAGAGAAGAACGAGUGUGAGAGUGGAAAGUUCACACUGUGACGGUAUCUUACCAGAAAGGGACGGCUAACUACGUG
rnacentral:rRNA from 1 species